AAUUCUCAACCUUAUUAGCUUUUGUUGAUAAUGGCUUGGAUUUGGGGGUUUGCCGGUUUCUUACUGAGAUCAGCUCCCCUUAAAUGUAUUAGCUGGUUGCCUUGUGCAGACUUGUCUAUUGGUGUGAUAAUUAUCUACGCCGUGGACUUUCUGCCAGUUUUUAGCACCGCUUCUAACUGUCUGUUUAUUCAGACAAUAUAUGACA
rnacentral:misc_RNA from 1 species